rnacentral:rRNA from 1 species
GAUGAACGCUAGCGGCAGGCCUAACACAUGCAAGUCGAGGGGUAGAACACUUCGGUGUUUGAGACCGGCGCACGGGUGCGUAACGCGUAUGCAAUCUACCUUGUACAGGGGAAUAGCCCAGAGAAAUUUGGAUUAAUGCCCCAUAGUAUAUAACCUUCGCAUGUUGGUUAUAUUAAAGUUCCAACGGUACAAGAUGAGCAUGUGUCCCAUUAGUUAGUUGGUAAGGUAACGGCUUACCAAGACGAUGAUGGGUAGGGGUCCUGAGAGGGAGAUCCCCCACACUGUACUGAGACACGGACCAGACUCCUACGUGAGGCAGCAGUGAGAAAUAUUGGUCAAUGGGCGCAAGCCUGAACCAGCCAUGCCGCGUGCAGGAAGACGGUCCUAUGGAUUGUAAACUGCUUUUAUACAGGAAGAAACCCUCCCACGUGUGGGAGAUUGACGGUACUGUAGGAAUAAGGAUCGGCUAACUCCGUGCCAGCAGCCGCCGUAAUAC